rnacentral:lncRNA from 1 species
ACUACAAGAAUAGUGCGAGAACUACCGGUUUUGAUGACACAUCGUGUAACAACAAGGAACUAAGGAUAGGUGAAAUUAGUAACGUAGAAAAUAAGACAGUUACCUACUAUAACAUGUUAAACUGCCCGUAUAUAUAAAUUAAAUCCGAUUCUUUAAACUAUCAGUAUAUAUAAGUAAAAUCCGAGUGAUCUGAAAGAACCAACUAAAACACUAACCUAAAAGACUAUUUGUGCAAGCUUCCAUAAAAGAAUAAUCGUCCCAUAAAAGUGAGAUUAGUAACGUAGAAAAUAAGAUAGUUACCUACUAUAACAUGUUAAGUUGUCCGCAUAUAUAAAUUAAAUCCGAUUCUUUAAACUGUCAGUAUAUAUAAGUUAAAUCCGAUGAUCUCGAAGAGUCAACUAAAACACUGACCUAAAAGAUUAUUUGUGCAAGUUUCC